CCUACGGGGGGCAGCAGUGAGGAAUAUUGGUCAAUGGACGAGAGUCUGAACCAGCCAAGUAGCGUGAAGGAUGACUGCCCUAUGGGUUGUAAACUUCUUUUAUAUGGGAAUAAAACGAGGCACGUGUGCCUUUUUGCAUGUACUUUAUGAAUAAGGAUCGGCUAACUCCGUGCCAGCAGCCUCGGUAAUACGGAGGAUCCGAGCGUUAUCCGGAUUUAUUGGGUUUAAAGGGAGCGUAGAUGGGUUGUUAAGUCAGUUGUGAAAGUUUGCGGCUCAACCGUAAAAUUGCAAUUGAUACUGGCAGUCGUGAGUACAGUUGAGGUAGGCGGAAUUCGUGGUGUAGCGGUGAAAUGCUUAGAUAUCACGAAGAACCCCGAUUGCGAAGGCAGCUUACUAAACUGUGACUGACAUUGAUGCUCGAAAGUGUGGGUAUCAAACAGGAUUAGAUACCCUUGUAGUC
rnacentral:rRNA from 1 species